UGCAAAGAUUUCAGCUCUCUACUCCACGAGCCACCCUCUAACUCACAGCUGGUACAAAUGGGUGUGACUCAUUGCACAGCCAGAGGUUAUAAUGAAGUAUCCCACUCAUCCUUUAGCUCACCCUUUGUUGAAGACAAUGCAGAUUGCGGAAGGUUUCUGAGGAGGAGUAUCUGGGAUAAGUUGCUGGGAAGAAGGAAGAAGGAGCACAGUUCUAUUGGAAAGAAUGUCUUGAUGCUGAUUAUGAAAAUGACAUGGAAGUCAUGGGCUGAAUUAAAUAUUUU